rnacentral:lncRNA from 1 species
UACGAAGGGACAGGUAGCUCCAGUGACCGUCACUAGAAUACAGCUGAAUAGGAGAUUAAGGACAGGACCGUGCAUUCUUUCCAAAGGCCCGAGGACAUCGAGAAGCCUACAUGAAACGGAGGGCUGUUGCCGAAAAGUCUGGCCCACCUGGAGUCUCCGGCAGACGGGGCACGGUGCCUCUGAAAGUCAGGCAGAGCCCACGCAGGAUGGGCCGCGCCUCAGGCGGGAGCACGGGAGAGGGCGGCCCGAACUACGGCAGGUUUUGGAGAAAACUUGCUCUUUGCUUGCUGUAACCCGGACAGCUACUGCACCGUGAAAUGACAUUUUUAUCAAGAAGUUAAACAGCACAUUCCAAGAGCAACUAUGAAGCCAUGUCUUACUUCUAGUAAAAAGCUGUUGGCUGUAAAACACAAACCCUUGUUUUCAGAGCCCUGUGCUGGCGCAGCGGAGGAACUAAAGAGCUACUGAUGCCUUCCACCCGGAAGCAGCAGAUGCACAUGCAGAGGGGCACUAACGCUGGCUGCUGAGGAUGGAGCACAAACCGGCAUACGGGAGGUUCUUGGAGGCCGAGUGUGCAGGCUUCGUGGAAUAUCUGGGGGUUACUGGAAAGCGCGUCGUACUUUUGGGACAGACUCCGCGGAGUUCUGUAACUUUUGCACUCUUCCAUUUGAUGAAGAAGGCAAUGCAGCUCCACAGACGCGAAAGGACACCUACACCCAGUGCCUUGAAACCAGCAACCGAACCACCCGCUGCCAGGCUCACGCCCGUCGGGUCCGUGCAGCACCCCGCGGGCUCCCGCCCAGGCCGGCGCGGGAAUCGCGGCCGCCGCGCCCGGACGCCUCGCGCACCCAGCAGGACGGCCGCUCUGCCGUCCGCCUCGGGGACCCGCUUUCGUUCUGGAAACCCGGCGCAGGUCGGGCCCGCCGUGACCGCCCCCACAGCAACCAAGUCCCGGCACCCCAAGCCAAGAUCAGGCCUUGCCGUGUGGGCCUGUUCCUCAGUUUCCCCAGGCGCCUCUUUCCCAGCUACGGGAGCUGCCCGGUGA